AUUUGUUGUAGUCCUGUGGUUAGGAUAUCUGGCUUUCACCCUAAUAACCGGGGUUCAAGUCCCCGCAAUAGAAA
rnacentral:tRNA from 1 species